rnacentral:lncRNA from 1 species
UAUUAAUGCAGUGAAUGGCCCUCUGGCCAGAAAAACAGAAGCCAAAUAUGGGCUUUUAUGACUCGAUUGUAAAAUGCAGGGAAAAAUAUCAAUGAAUAUUUAUUGAGUGCCUACUAUGGGCAAAGCACCUUAGGAGUACAGGUAAAUCUACAACAUAAACCCAGUCUGAAAGAAUUAUAAUAUGGAAGGGAGACAAGACAUAAACACUAAAAACUCAACAUUAAAAGUAAUGAUCAGUUUACAGAAUGUUGUUACUAAAGAAUUUCUGAGAGAGAUUAUUUUGCCAUGAUCCAGUCAGAAAAGUAGGAUUUAAACCUUGUUGCAAAGAAUAGGAUUGAAAAGGCAAAGACAGUGUCUCAGGUCUGGAGUUGAAGGUGUGUUGCAGGGACAGAGAGCGAACCAAUUCCACUGGAUAGAAGAUUUAUGUUUCAGAAAAGUAGGAAAGAAGGGUGAAAGGGCAGGGUAGGAGUCUGAAAGCGCAGCCACAAAUACGCAGUGCAUGAGUUUUAACUUAAUCCUAGACUUAAUGUAAAGAGUGACUGCAGGAAAAGACGGCAGGGCAAGAGGCAAAGACAAGACUUGGGGUGUCAAAAAGACAUACAGUCUGAUGAACUGGAAAAGAUUAAUUUUUAAUAUGGUUAUUUGUUAUGCAGUCAUGCUGUAGACCAGUAACAUCAUAUGAUAAAUGACACAAAUGUUUCCAAGUGUAAAUCAUCAUAUUCCAAGUAGGGCAUAACCUCAAAGGAACUUCCUCACACUCUAUAGUAGAAAGAAAUAAAUGUUUGUUUUGAAAGAUAAGUAUGGGUAAGUAGAAAAAAAUGCUCAAGGGCAAAUACUUUUAAAAAAAUGCUUUAUGAAAGAAUGUUGGGUUUUGUUUUUUUUCAAAAAAGGCAAGUUCAAGCAGACUAUUUUUUUCCAAGAGUACUGCCUGCUUUUCUUCUUUCCAAAAUUUGCCAGAUUUUACAAUCCACACAAAGCAUAUUUUCCCUAAGGAUUAAGAGAUCCUUUCUCCCUCAUUAAAAUUUUUAUUUAAGAAAUUAAGGGACCACAGGGUACCAUAUCCCAUUAUUUACAUAGAGUGUGAAGUAAUUUUGGACUCUCACACUUGACUUUUUUUUUUUACCAAACUUUGGAAAUCAAGCAAUGCCAGGUUCCUCAAAUUCAAGUUUUGCUAUUUUAUAAAGAUCACCUUAAAAAAUUUUUUUUCCCAAGUCUCUACAUGUGCCUCGUAUAUACCACCUAUAAAAUAGAAAAAAAUUUAAAUUCCAAUACUAUUAUUUAC